rnacentral:rRNA from 1 species
CAGCAGCCGCGGUAAUACGUAGGGGGCGAGCGUUACCCGGAUUCACUGGGCGUAAAGGGGGUGUAGGCGGCUCGGUAAGUCGGGUGUGAAAUCCCACGGCUCAACCGUGGAAUUGCGCCCGAAACUGCCGAGCUUGGGGCCGGUAGAGGGAGACGGAACUGCCGGUGUAGGGGUGAAAUCCGUAGAUAUCGGCAGGAACGCCGGUGGGGAAGCCGGUCUCCUGGGCCGCGCCCGACGCUGAGGCCCGAAAGCUAGGGGAGCAAACCGGAUUAGAUACCCGGGUAGUCCACGCCGUAAACGGUGGGCACUAGGUGUGGGGGGUUAAUCCCUCCGUGCCGAAGCUAACGCAUUAAGUGCCCCGCCUGGGGAGUACGGCCGCAAGGUUGAAACUUAAAGAAAUUGGCGGG